rnacentral:rRNA from 1 species
AUUACCGAGUUUACAACUCCCAAACCCCUGUGAACAUACCUUUACUGUUGCUUCGGCGGGAUCGCCCCGGCGCCCUCGGGCCCGGACCCAGGCGCCCGCCGGAGGACCCAAACUCUUGUUUUCCUUUGUGAUUUCUCUGAGUGAUACAAGCAAAUAAAUUAAAACUUUCAACAACGGAUCUCUUGGUUCUGGCAUCGAUGAAGAACGCAGCGAAAUGCGAUAAGUAAUGUGAAUUGCAGAAUUCAGUGAAUCAUCGAAUCUUUGAACGCACAUUGCGCCCGCCAGUACUCUGGCGGGCAUGCCUGUUCGAGCGUCAUUUCAACCCUCAAGCCCCUUCGGGCUUGGUGUUGGGGAUCGGCCUGCGGCGUCUGACGCCGUGGCCGGCCCCGAAAUCUAGUGGCGGUCUCGCUGUAGUCCUCCUCUGCGUAGUAGCACACCUCGCACCGGAACUCAGCGCGGCCACGCCGUUAAACCCCAACUUUCUGAAGUUUGACCUCGGAUCAGGUAGGAAUACCCGCUGAACUUAAGCAUAUCAAUAAGCGGAGGAAAAGAAACCAACAGGGAUUGCCCUAGUAACGGCGAGUGAAGCGGCAACAGCUCAAAUUU